ACCAGUGUGAUGUUUAUUGUCUUUCGUCCUUUUGAGUUUUCAGAAUGAAUACAUUUGUCUUUGUUUGAGGGAUGCAGGUAGUUAUAUUCUUUAUUGGAAAGAUAAGUAUCAUAAAAUUGCUUCUAGGAUAAUUUAUCUCGCUGCUCUUUGCAUUAGUGAGGAUGGUUUUGCUCCUGUUACGAAAUCUCCUCAAACCUCCCAUUGUAUGGGAGUCAGCAAUCGGGAAACCAAGAGUCAGGCAGAUGGCGAAGGCGGUGGAGAGUAGUGGGCGUUUGUUAUCCAGUGUUUCCUGGCACUGCUGGCUCACACACCUGUGUGCAGGUGACGCCCACAGCGGCUGGGAAGCGCCGGAUGUCACCUCAUGCAGGACAUCUAUCACCCUGACUCCUCGAGUGGAUGUUGGAGUGCUAAGAUGGGCUUUGCCUCUUCUGCAAGGUCUCCUUAAGCGAAGAGUGAGCAGAAAUAGCGGCUUUUAUUUGAGAUUCUACCCAGUGGAGUUCAGAAUCAGGCUGGGCCUGAACUCAUGAUCCUCCUGCCUCAGCCACCCCGAGUGUGGGGACUGCAGGUGUUCACUGGCACGCCCACCUAAGCAUCCCUGUCCUUAGCGGGACCGAAGUAUCUAGAUGGAUGUUUUCACGCCAGGCAGGGAUGAGUUUCCACCGGAGGCUCUCCCUUGUUGGCAGCAGAGCAUGGCUCUGACAGAUUGAAUCAAAAAAGGAACUUGUUAGGGAGCUACUGUGUCUCCGUGGAUGGAGGCGUUGGGGCGGAGGCCAGACUCGCCAGCCACCUGGGCAGGAAGAAGGCGGAGGCCAGGGACCGUCAGGACUGGCCCAGGAGAACUCCGCUGCCCUGGAGGCUGCACCUGCACGCACAGACAGGACCACGCACACGGCCAGGCCCCCUGGCCCUCCACUGCCGCUUCCAGGAGGGGUGGUACAGCGUACACAGGAAGGACGGAGUUGCCGGCUCUCCAGGGCCCCCUGCUGCUGGACUCAGGUGCGCUCCGUGGGGCACUUCUCAAGGGACUGGUGGGAAAGACUGCAGAUCCCGCGUGGGAGGAGCGGAAUGACAAACGUCCAUCAGAGCGGGAGCAGCUGAGACAAGCUGAGGCCAGGAGCUGGGGCGGCACAGGAAGGAGGCUGUCAGUGGGCCGCAGCUGGGAGGGAGGUCCGGGGUUUGUGCCCAGGGAAUACAGUUUGGCCAAAGCAGGGGGCAGCCAGGCGUCGUGACCAUAUCUCAUUGCGCAGUGUCACUUGCCAAGUAUGGGAAUUCUGUGUAAGAGGAACAGUGACUGGACGAGAAAGAUGAACACCUAUCCGUGCCGGGUGUAUUAGUUCUCUCGAGCUGCUGUUAAAAAAAAAUCACCAUGGACCAGGGGGCUUGAAAUGACAGAAACGGAUCCCCUUUCAGUCCUGGGGGCCGUAAGUCUAAAAUGAGGAUGUUGUGGGCUGUGCCCCGGGGGGCCGUGGGGUGAACUUGGUCAGGCCUUCUCCCGGAUGCUGCUGCUGCUGGCCACCCUGGGGGACACUGUUCCAGUAUCUGCCUCCUGUCCACACUGCCUGUCCCUUGGGCUGCGUCUUCACAGGGCAUCUGCUCUCUGGAAAGCGAGUUACCUGCCCCCCAAGCUCAGGCAGGGCCAGUGUGGGUAGCCAUUUCCAGUCCAAAGGGAGAAACAGGAAGAAGGCUCACAGUCCCGAGAAACUCGCAGGCACGAGGGUAACUCUGUGGCCAGAUGCUCCGUCCCUGCCCUCUGGGCUGGCAGCCGCAGCGCAGCCUCAUCUGCCUGUGAGCUGUCCCCGCCGUCCUCUGAGUCACGCGUCCCUUGACUUGAAGGAGGAUGUGUGUCUGUAGCCACGUAGCUUCCUGUCUGCGCGGAUUCCACAGUGUUUAGAACAUUGACCCGUAGCAGAAUGGUCAGCUCCUGCCGGCCUGAGGACGGCAGCUCCAGGCUCACGUCUGUGCACACUGAUUGCCGCUCGCACCAGCCCCGCCACGGUGCCAUCCCUCCCUGGAGCUCGGUGUGCGCCUCCCCAGGCCGGACCUGAGAAGAGGGACAGCCAGCGUGUCUGGGUGCAGGAACGCCCAGAUGUCAGCCUCCUCCUGCAGGGGCUCCCCGCGUUGGACUUGGCUUGCUUUCCUUGUCUUUUCCGCCAGCAAGGGAGUCUCUGAGCAGAGAAUCUCCCUCCUUGUCCUUUCUGCUGUCUGCUGCCCGGGUCGGCACCAAAGCCAAAUGUGUGCUGAUCUGAAUACGAUGCUCCCAGCCCCCGGGAAGUCUGCAGUCAGGCUGGGACCUGCUGCAGACUCUAGUAAGCAGAGGCCUGCAGCCGGGUGCAUGCUGAGGGCACAGCUGAGCUUUCUGCAGAGAUGUGAUGUGAUUACAAGUGGGACGGUGGCCCAGGCCUGCUCAGAUGAGCAAAGGGCAGGCUCUGAACCCAGAGGAGGGAGAGAUGUUAACUCUGGCGCUUAUCAUCCAGUCUGGGGAAAGGAGCCCAGGAAAAUGCGGCUCCUGAAGGCGGAGGUGGAAGAGCGGCGGGGCUUUGGCUGCAAAGGAGGCACCAAGGGUGCGUCGGGCUGACAGCCUGGGCCCCGGGCAGCGUGUCCUGGGGGCUGCCUGCCACCCACGUAGUGUGCGCCUGGUAAGUACUCCCUGUCGCUAAGUGAUGAUACACCAGAGGCUGACCCUGCACAUGUGCCACAAGCCAGUUCCCACGGGUGGACACACGUGUGAUGCGGUGGCCCUGGUGGCUCCUUUCUGGCUCACAGGCACCGGGCGUCUGGCUGACUUCUGAAAAGUGAGGCCUGCACAGGAUGUGUGUUGGGGGGGACAUCAGGGACCCAGAGCUGGCUAGGGACACGGGCCAGUGGGGGACUGCAUUUAUGCAAAUGUACGGGAGUGACGUUCCCCUGAGAGCAGCACCAGGGAGUGUGUGAGGGAGACGUCCUGGCGGGCCGCUGUCCCUUAAAUGGGGCCACGGCUGCACAGGGGCCUCAACCAGGCCCGGCCAGCAGGGAAGAUGUGGGUCCUUGGUCCAGGUCUGGAGUCUACGCCAGCUCCGAGCUGAUCACCCUUUGUGAGCUUGGCAGCGUGAAAGCAGGUGUCACCCAGGGCAGCACUCUAGGUCUCAGGAGACCCUGUGCACGUCACUCUAGUAAGAGCUGCCAGGGGCUCCUCAGGCAGCAGCAGGACCCGCUCCCCCACCCCCUCUCACCCCACUGUCCCUCUGCCUGCGACGCAGAAGCAGUUCCGAACUGCGCAGUGGAGAACCCAGUGGGGACCUGGACAGUCGGCCCUCAGGACGUUUUCCUUGUGAGAAUUCUGCAUCUGCGCUACACACACUGCACGCACCUCUACCCUUCCCUCUCUGUACCGUGUGUACGCGUGUCUGUGCGCACACACACGAGCGCACAUCACUCACACAUGCACACAUGCAGCAUGGUUUAGAAGGACGUCGGCCUGGGUUCAGUCUGUAUUCCCUGGGGCACCGAAACACUCCUGUAAAACAGCUACAUAUAAAACAACCGUUUUAGUUCCUUUAAAUCCCUUUGCGUUAUCUCUCAGAAAUAAUUACGGUCUAAAGAAAGUUUAGGUUGAAGUGUUUAUGAGUAAAGUGGACAUUUUUUAGCUUGGGUUAUCCACCAAAUUUUACGCUCAACUGGAUCAGCACCCGGGCAGGGCCAGUCUAAGCUAACCCGUGACCCGGAAGAACCUAAGAUCCACUAACUCCAAAACAGUUGCUCCCGCUGGACCUGCAGAGGCCUGGUUUCACACUGUGGGGGCGCCUUGGGCUGCGGGAGUCCUGACAGAGAGCAGAACCACGCGAAAUCCCACCAGAGACGUGCAAGGCGCCCGUCACACACGGCUGCCAGUGAGCCUCAGGGACGGCAGAGACGCAGAGGAGCUGUGCCGGGAGUCCCUGGGCAGCGACAGAGCUGGGGCGGCACGGGGGUGAUGGGGGCUCCGCCCUGAGGGAGGUCCUGCUUGUGGGGCAGGUGCAGCAAGGCUAGGUGGGCAGCCUUGGACAAAGAGGACGUCCUCAGUGUGGCUUCAGCAAGAGAGCACAAGGGCCACAGGGGACAGGCUCCCGGCGCUGGCCCAUGUGGGAGUGGUCAGUCCCACAGCUGCCAGCGAAGGUCCAGGUCGGCCCAGCGGAGCCCACAGAGAGGAGUCCCCGCAGCUGUGGGGGAAUCGUGGCUGCGAACUUCCAGGAGGGUCUUCCGGGAGGCCGUCCCUGCUCAGCUGUUGGACUGGACUGUCCUGCUGCCGGUGACAGUCCCAUAACUCAGCCAGCUCUCACCCGAGCCCGUGGCCAGAUGAUCCCGCGGCUCCGCCUCUUGGCAGCUGUCCCUGGGUCACCUUCCUUGGCGCGGUCUUACCUCGCAGUCGGAGACUUUUAUGCAGUGUAGCGCAUUUUCCUCUCGCAGAUUUGCUCUUUGCUGACCUCCGCGGGCUUGCCUCCUCCUCCUCUAGCGUCUUUGCCCAGGGGUUCCGGGUCAGCCGGACUUAGCUUUCUGUCCCUCUGCCAGGUUCAGGGCUGAGCUCUCCACCGCCCCUGCCAAGGAAAACACGCAGACUCCAUAUUAUACUUUGCAGAUUACUCCUCGAUUAAUCCCAGCACUCUGUCCCUUUGCCCAAGGACCUUUCCUGGUCCCCUGACCUUGCCAGCUAGCUCAGAUGUCUUCAGGUGCCCGCCGUGCUCUUGUAUUUUUCUGGGUCUACAGUGGGGAGGGGCUGAAGUGGCUCCACCUGCCCUGCAGGGGCCACAGGUCCUGGCUAAUGAUGGUGGUUUGAGGCAAGUGUUUUAAAAACGCCUUAGAUUUUCUUUUCACACAGAGAGUUCCAACCUUGAGGAAGCUGGGGACUUUUCCAUCAUUUGGUUUAAUGAAGAGCAAUUAAUUUUUCAAUGGUCCGGGGCUUUGUGUCUUUGUUUUUUCACUUUGAUUCCUCUAUGUGUGAUAGCACAAAGGCACUGUCUGAGAACAGGUGCCGCGGGACAAACCGACUCGGGGUCAGGGUUGGCUUGAAACAGCGCGUAAGAGUGAAACGGAGCUCCCUCGGUGUCAGGAGCCGGAAUGACACAUUCUGGCCUCUGGACAUAUUCUUUGGUUUUCGGUGUUGGGGCGGUGCCAGGGCCUGCUGCCACGGCGCAAGCGCUCUACCGCUGAGCCUUGCCUCCAGCCCCUGGACACGACUCAGUCUCUCAGAAACCCCUGACCUCCCGGCUGGCCGAGGCAGGCGGUGAGAAUGCGGGGUUCUUCGUACCUCGUCCCGGAGUACGCUUGUCUGCUUCUCAGAUUCCCGAGCCCUUGGCUCUGCCACCCUGCGUUUCUCCAUUUCUAGUAGGAGGAGGGUUGCACAGCACCAGGAGACACAAAGGAGCGUUACCGUCCCGUCUCCCCGCAGAGCCAGAAGCCUCGUGACCUCAGAAGCUGGAAACCGAGUUCCCACUGCAGCGCCGAGCGCGGCGGCCUCCCCGGGACCCAGCAAGGCACCGUCCAUGAGCAGCCCGGCCCCUGUCCGACGCUUUUGGCCUCCAAAGCUUUGCAUGUGCUGCUCUUUGCCUCAAGCCCCGCAGGGAGAACUUGGUCCUGCCGGGCCACCUGCCGGCUUUUCCUGUGCAGAACCAGUCUCUCCAUGCAGGCCACCCAAACCAAACCCCCUGCUCUGGGCCUUGCCGGCAGAAGUGCAUUCUGCAGGCUGUGGGUGCAGCUCCCUUCCUGGCUCGAAGGCAGCCGCCUGCGUGCUUGUCCUCACCUGCGGCCGAGGCUGGAAGGACCUCUCUUGCCUCCUGCUAUAAGGACGCUGAUCCCAAAGGGAGAGCCCUGUGCUGGGCUUAUCUGACUGUGGUCACCUGCCAGAGGCCACCUCCAGGUUCCCUCAGCUUGGGGGAUUAACGCAUGAGUUUUGACAGGAUGAGCAACUUCGGACCAUAGUACACAGUAGCACAGGCAGGAGCGGUGGGUCAAAUGCGGCCCCUGAGCCAUGCGUGGCACCGGGGUACUCCAGAUGCGGCUGGGGAGAGGCUGUGGACUGCAAAGUGCACAGAGUUUCCAAGGCUUACUACGAAAAUAUAUCCUAAAAGUAAUUAAAAAUUUUGAUUACA